rnacentral:rRNA from 1 species
UUGAACGGAGAGUUUGAUCCUGGCUCAGGACGAACGCUGGCGGCGCGCUUAACACAUGCAAGUCGUGC